rnacentral:tRNA from 1 species
AGGAAGUAGUGUAAUGGAAGCACUAAGA